UGAUAUUGUUCGGUAGACCGACGGUCCG
rnacentral:sRNA from 1 species